GAUAAAGAAAUGAUGACAAAUAUGCUUCAAUGAUAAAGAUAAUUCAAAGAUAAUUCUUUUAUUAUCAUCAAGAUAUUAAAUGGACUUAUUCAUGGGUUUUUCAAAAUAUUAUUAUUUCUCAAUGUAUUUUCAAGCUCGUAUUUUCAAAUUCGUGAAAUAAGAUAUUCGUAGGUUCAAUGAAGGUUGAAGAAUUAAUUUGUGUAUGAGUAAUUCAAUGAUUCAUUGCUUUCAGCCUUAGAAAUGUGACCGCUGAUAAUGAAAUAUAUUUUCAUUUUAGCGUGAAACACUCAAGUUGACUUGAAUGUGUCAUGUGUUAAAAUACUUGCGCGUCUUUAGAUAGAUGUGUCGCAAACAAAUAAAUCGAUUAUUUACACACAAAUAGGUAAGAAUCUUCUUCUAAAAUAUUCAUAUUUCAAUCAUUUAUAUUAUUGCGUAUGCAAUGGCAAAUUUAAAGUUGUUUUUAAAAAAAUAAUGAUUGUUUAAAUCACUCUAACGUAAUAAAAGACGAUUUUAUCGUCUUCUCAAGAGGCGUACAUAAUUCCACGGCGGCGGCUAUUAUAUCAUAGUGCUAGCAAUGUUCACUGGCGUAUUGACAGCGUUUCAUCUCAUUGUCACUUUACUCCAGCAUUGUUCGGCGGAGAGACGAUGACGGUGCUGAGUUGUAAGCCGACGCUAUCAACCGAACGGAUGACAGCAUCGAGAUAAGAAAAUUGUUGGCAGCGAUGCCGAACGAAUAACUACUCGAAUGGAAAAGGUCGCACAGCCGCGAGUGCAGCUGCACCCGGCGACGCAUGGCCUAGCUAUAGCGAGGAGGCCGGAGGCCAGGUAGUUAUAAGCACUAGGUGCUGCUCCAAAAGUAGCCAUGGCGCACGGAUCCGCAUGCUACUUUCCUUUCAAAUAGCACGGGCCUUUUGCUUUCUUCGCGGCCUUCAGCGCGGGCAGCGAUGGCGUUGCUCGAUUUGAGCCUCGCACGUAUGCAAUCAGAGCAGAUCACGAAACUUUCGUACCUCGCGCAACGCGAGUUCUCGCGUGCUCGUAUACUUGCGGAUUAUUGAAGAUGCUAUUUUUUUUAUUCAUGAAAGGACACACAUAUGGCGCAAAAAUAUUGUUUCCACCGAACAAACUUUCGAAACUGCAAACGGAUAACUAAGUAUUUUUUCCGUCGAUUGUAAAAGCACAGUAUAGUCAUCAUAAUUUGCAGAAAUAAGCUGCAUUCAAUGUAGAUGUGAUUCGGUGAGCUAUGACGUUGUGCAUCGUCGCCGGAUUAUGUAUGACGUAUGUUUGUUUGGAACAGUCAUGCAUGCCUCUGCAUUAACCGUAAAUACUAUCGCCCGUGAUAUCAUGCGUAAUUAAUGUGUAUCGUACGCUAUAUGAAGAAUUAAUGGGUUUCUGAUCGCAAGUGUUCAUGGUACAAUUUGCACGCAUUCACGCUGACUCAUUUGUUUGCGAUGCGCAAAAAUCGAUACGUUACGCUUGCUUAUUUCGAAAGCAACAUCAGCAUGGUGUUCGAAAAUGCCAAACGGAAGUGAAAGGCGUUAAUGAUGCCUAUUGUGUCUAUUUUUAUUUGGAAUCACAGAUUUAUCUUCACAAUUAUUCAUUGAUGUUUUGUAUUGAGAAAAUAAAAAUCACGUAUACUAAAAAAAUUAUAUCAGUUUAAUGCGAUAAAAUUGACGGAAAUGAACUGCACAAGACUGACCUGCAAAAGGGACCUCAAACAAUACAAUGGGCUAAUUGCUAUUUGAAGGUUUAGCAAUAUUUCUUUUCACAACAAAACUAAAGAAUUUUGGAUAUACAAGGAUGAAUGCAGAUCCUGAAUCCGUUUUGCCCAUCCUCUGUUACGCCACUGUUCCUUCCCGUGAUUGCCGCCGUCGACGAUAUCGUCGCCGGCUGGAAACGCCGACGUAAGAAUGAGAGCACGUCCGUGUGUAUGUUGCGUAUGAAUUAAUGUCGCACAUACCGAUGUCGAGGGAGCGGAUAACGGGCGGUAGACGCGCGACACGUGAUUCUCGCAGCGCGUUGCAAUGUGUACGUAGUAAAGUGACCACCACCAAGCGUAUGUUUGUUUUCUCGCAUACCUCGUUCGUAUUCGAAAGAAUACGAGAAGAUUGAAGAUGCGAUACGGCCUAUGGAAGCUUGAUAACAGACGAGCAUAUCAAUUCACUUAUCAUCGUGAAUCACGCAUUGUUACGACGUUGAAUUGUUAUUACCCCAAUGGAAUUUUAUUAUACUUCAAAUUCCUUUAUUAGCGUAAUUAAUGUUGACUGUAGUUACAAAAUGAAAUACCAACAAUACCGUAAAUCGAAGGAUUGUCGGAGAAAAUGCAAUUUUUCAAUUCUCAAUAUUAAUGGAACAUCCUGUAUAUCAGCUUUACGAAUGAAGGAUUCUUGUUACACAAAAUCCAAGCAAUUAUUCAUACGUAAUAGUUGUAUCGUAAUCUGCCGCUAAUGCCCAUAAUUCACAAAUGAUGCAUAGAGUAAUUGAGGCAAAAAUAGAUCUGCGACUUCUCAAAAUCGCGAGAGGAGAGGAAGAGACCUUGUACCAAUUUCCACGUGUUUUCGGGCGAAACGCGUAAUUAUGGUGCGCGACGACCGCGUUCCACUGUGCUACACGCACAUUAUUCGUCAGAAAAUUAGAGAGACACGAGCGUGUACGCGGUCGUGCAUUGCGGCACGCACGGCCAAAAAUACACGGUAUUCCUCGCCAGUAAACUCGCCGUUCGACGUACUUUUUCCCGUACUUCGCCGAGAGUUCUCCUCGUCCCCUCCGUCCCUGCACUGCAGAUGCUCUAUCAUAAUAAUCGCUAUUUUGGGCCGGAGGGUCGACCGCAAGCCGCGUUAUUGUAACAGCACAGAUGUUCUUCUCGUUCCGAGUUAGAAGCAUUCGAGUAGGGGAAGGUCGAGCUCGAAUACCGCGCUCAGAGAAGACGAAUAGAUGAACUAGACGCGUCUAAAUGACGUGAAAUUGCAACAUUGCGGGUAGACAGACAGAGACAAGGAGAGGGAGCGAGAAAGAGAGAGAAACAAGGCGAGAAUACGAUGGAAGGGAGAGGAAAGAGCGAGAGAAAAGGAAAACAUUGCUGGUCAUCACGAAGGCUAUCGCAAUCGCGUCUCCGUCUCCCUCUGAUAAAGCCUAAAAUGGUAUCUUAACAACUUGGGCGACGCCAGAAAGAAAAAAUACAAAUUAUGUUGCGAGAUUCUAUCGAAUGCAUUGGCUUCGGAAAUUAAAAUUAAAGCAACACGGGUUUUUUUUAGAUCCGACUGCAUCAACAAUCUUGCUGCACUUGUUUUACGCCGCACCGUGUUGCUUUCUAGAUCACAGCCAGGGCAUAAGCAUAUAAAGGGAGAAAGGACGGGGUUGUUAUGACACAGAUAGAAAAGUUAAUCGACCAUGCUCAGCGCUAACUAACCGUAAAUAGCCAAUGCUGUUUACCGAAGAUGGAUGUCAAUUACUUUACAUUGUACCUAAUUUUUUAUUUGUUAUAGGCCUCUGAAAUAGUCUCUACAUAUCGGCAGAAAUGUUCUUAGAUUAUCGAAGGACAUUACUCACGCAGUAGGUAGCAACAAUGUGACCUGAUAAUAUAUUUUAGGUGAUUGAAAGAUACUCGUAUCUACUUGUUACGAAUGCUAUUACACGUGACAUUUCAGUAAUUAGAGAUACCGAUUGACAUUGCGGAAUACCUAUCGCGAUAUCGAUGUCACGGGACUGUAAAACGUCAACGCGCUGAAAACUUUCCUAAGAUACGUUUCGGUGGAGAGCAGCCAAACAUUGCUCUCGAGGAAGCUGGUUGUGCAUGCAGAUCAUCUGCUUCGUCAUGCAAAUGUCUCAUGAUUUUCACCGCGCUGAGAGAUAAAUUUCCGUCGACGGUUAAUUCGAUAGAAUUUACGAUCGUAUCAGCGCGUUCUUCGCAGCUUAUAUCGCGAGUAAGAAGUUGCGCGUUCCUCGAUGACGCAGAAAUUUCUUAAGGCUUCUCGUAAAAACGGGUCUAGCGAGUCUUCGUAAUACCGUGCCUAUAGGAGACCCCACAAUUGUGUAACGCAUCCACUAUGUUAUGAUGAUGGUGCAAGGCCAAACGUCCUAAAUCAUAUAACGCUCACUUGUAAGGUCACUGUGCUUUCGAGAAAUAUUAUCGAUCCAUUCACGGUUAUUUUUAGCUGAUGCGUCGUGUUCGCGCCACAUACAUAAUA